GCGUCUGUAGCUCAGUGGCUGGGGCACCAGUCAUGUACACCGGAGCUGGCAGGUUCAAAUCCAGCCCGGGCGUG
rnacentral:tRNA from 1 species